AUGGCUCAGGAUGAACGCUAGCUACAGGCUUAACACAUGCAAGUCGAGGGGCAGCAUGAUUGAAGCUUGCUUCAAUUGAUGGCGACCGGCGCACGGGUGAGUAACACGUAUCCAACCUGCCGAUAACUCGGGGAUAGCCUUUCGAAAGAAAGAUUAAUACCCGAUAGUAUAGUAUUUCCGCAUGGUUUCACUAUUAAAGAAUUUCGGUUAUCGAUGGGGAUGCGUUCCAUUAGAUAGUUGGCGGGGUAACGGCCCACCAAGUCAACGAUGGAUAGGGGUUCUGAGAGGAAGGUCCCCCACAUUGGAACUGAGACACGGUCCAAACUCCUACGGGAGGCAGCAGUGAGGAAUAUUGGUCAAUGGACGAGAGUCUGAACCAGCCAAGUAGCGUGAAGGAUGACUGCCCUAUGGGUUGUAAACUUCUUUUAUACGGGAAUAAAGUGGAGUAUGCAUACUCCUUUGUAUGUACCGUAUGAAUAAGGAUCGGCUAACUCCGUGCCAGCAGCCGCGGUAAUACGGAGGAUCCGAGCGUUAUCCGGAUUUAUUGGGUUUAAAGGGAGCGUAGGCGGGUGCUUAAGUCAGUUGUGAAAGUUUGCGGCUCAACCGUAAAAUUGCAGUUGAUACUGGGCGCCUUGAGUGCAGCAUAGGUAGGCGGAAUUCGUGGUGUAGCGGUGAAAUGCUUAGAUAUCACGAAGAACUCCGAUUGCGAAGGCAGCUUACUGGACUGUAACUGACGCUGAUGCUCGAAAGUGUGGGUAUCAAACAGGAUUAGAUACCCUGGUAGUCCACACAGUAAACGAUGAAUACUCGCUGUUGGCGAUACACAGUCAGCGGCCAAGCGAAAGCAUUAAGUAUUCCACCUGGGGAGUACGCCGGCAACG
rnacentral:rRNA from 1 species